UACGUAGGGUGCGAGCGUUAAUCGGAAUUACUGGGCGUAAAGUGUGCGCAGGCGGCCGCGCAAGUCGAGUGUGAAAUCCCCGAGCUUAACUUGGGAAUUGCGCUCGAAACUACGUGGCUGGAGUGUGGCAGAGGAAGGUGGAAUUCCACGUGUAGCGGUGAAAUGCGUAGAGAUCAUGAGGAAGACCAGUGGCGAAGGCGGGUCUCUGGGCUGACACUGACGCUCAUGCACGAAAGCGUGGGGAGCAAACAGG
rnacentral:rRNA from 1 species